UUUCCCGCGUUCGCUCUGCUUGUUUUUUUCGUUGUGCCAUGGCUUUUUCAGCUCCCCACAAAGUUUUACUGGCUCAACAGAAUGAUCUUUUAUCUGCCCUUCUCAUUAGCCAAGAGGCAACGGAAGAAGGUAAAAAACGAAAUGGUCGAGAGAUAUUUUUUUGGAGAGGCCAAUACUUGGUUGGCACAACGAGCUUCUUCCGAAACUCAGAAAUGGAAACGAAGAUUUGUUCUUCAAUUUCACUCGUAUGUCGGUUAAACAGUAUGAUUAUUUAUUGUCUCUUGUGAGUGAGAAAAUGACCAAAAAAAAAAAAAAAAAAAAACACUUGCAUGAGGAAACCUCUGACACCAUCUGAGAAGCUUUCUGUAUGCUUAAGGAAAACAUGUUGAAAUAAAAGCUCCUGCAUUGGCAGGUUCGACAUAUACGAACUACAAAAAAUUCAACAGCAUAGUGUUGAUGGCAUCUUGUGACGCAAAUUACUGUUUUGUAUUUGUAGAUAUAGGUAAUUUUGGACGCAUCAGCGAUGCAGGGGUUUUUUCUAAUUCUUUCCUGGGACGAGCAGUGGAUCAAAAUAUGCUGAAUCUGCCACAUGAUAAAAAGUUGCCUAAAAGUGCAAGAGUUUUGCCUCAUGUAUUUUUAGG